AUUGAACGCUGGCGGCAGGCCUAACACAUGCAAGUCGAGCGGAUGAAGGGAGCUUGCUCCUGGAUUCAGCGGCGGACGGGUGAGUAAUGCCUAGGAAUCUGCCUGGUAGUGGGGGAUAACGUCUGGAAACGGGCGCUAAUACCGCAUACGUCCUGAGGGAGAAAGUGGGGGAUCUUCGGACCUCACGCUAUCAGAUGAGCCUAGGUCGGAUUAGCUAGUUGGUGGGGUAAAGGCCUACCAAGGCGACGAUCCGUAACUGGUCUGAGAGGAUGAUCAGUCACACUGGAACUGAGACACGGACCAGACUCCUACGGGAGGCAGCAGUGGGGAAUAUUGGACAAUGGGCGAAAGCCUGAUCCAGCCAUGCCGCGUGUGUGAAGAAGGUCUUCGGAUUGUAAAGCACUUUAAGUUGGGAGGAAGGGCAGUAAGUUAAUACCUUGCUGUUUUGACGUUACCAACAGAAUAAGCACCGGCUAACUUCGUG
rnacentral:rRNA from 1 species